rnacentral:rRNA from 1 species
ACGAACGCUGGCGGCAUGCCUAACACAUGCAAGUCGAACGAACCCUUCGGGGUUAGUGGCGCACGGGUGCGUAACGCGUGGGAACCUGCCCUUAGGUUCGGAAUAACAGUGAGAAAUCGCUGCUAAUACCGGAUAAUGUCUUCGGACCAAAGAUUUAUCGCCUUCGGAUGGGCCCGCGUAGGAUUAGCUAGUUGGUGAGGUAGAGGCUCACCAAGGCGACGAUCCUUAGCUGGUCUUAGAGGAUGAUCAGCCACACUGGGACUGAGACACGGCCCAGACUCCUACGGGAGGCAGCAGUGGGGAAUAUUGGACAAUGGGCGAAAGCCUGAUCCAGCAAUGCCGCGUGAGUGAUGAAGGCCCUAGGGUUGUAAAGCUCUUUUACCAGGGAUGAUAAUGACAGUACCUGGAGAAUAAGCUCCGGCUAACUCCGU